rnacentral:lncRNA from 1 species
GUUUAGAAUCUAGACCUUGUCUUAUUGCGCAUGCAUUAAAUUUUCAUCGUUUGUAAAACCUACAUGUUUGUUGUAGAUGGAUGGAUAAUGAUACCAGAGACACAGAAAUAUUCAUAGGAGCCACAAAGAGGAACUUAAAAGAUAGAAUGAUAGAACAUAAAAGGGACAUAAAAAGAGCUAAUCUAAAUACAGCACUAGCCAAAAAAGCGUAUGAAGGGAACAUCAAUGUCAAAUGGGAAGAAGGAAAAAUAAUUAAAACAAUACAUAAUCCAGAAGAACUAUACAGCGGAAAAUAUCCAGAUUUUCAAAGGGCAGAGAGAUGCCCAGGUAGUUAAUGAUAAAUAAAUAGAGACCUUGAGAAAAUCUUGGAGAUACCUUUUAAGAUAGCGUGUAUGUAUAUACAAAGAAAAUAUGUUAACAUCUGCCAAUGUAAGGGACAUUUAAAAAAUAAGAAAAGAAAAAAGUAGUAGUAUAAUGUAAAGUUUAUUUCACAAUAAUUUUUGUAUCAUCUACUACCAGCUAUAGUAAGGAAAAACUGCGAUAUCAAGAUAUAUGAUAUCAUAAAAACGGCAAAGAGAUUCGCAGGAAUUAAUUCGAAAAUGUCUAGAAAAGAACUUUUGUAAUUUAAAACAUAGAUUCUAAAACUGC